GACGUAGGGGGCGAGCGUUGUCCGGAUUCAUUGGGCGUAAAGCGCAUGUAGGCGGGCGAUUAAGUCGGGUGUGAAAUCCCUGGGCUCAACCUAGGAACUGCAUCCGAAACUGAUCACCUUGAGUAGUGGAGAGGAAAGCGGAAUUCCGGGUGUAGAGGUGAAAUUCGUAGAUAUCCGGAGGAACACCGGUGGCGAAGGCGGCAUCCUGGACCGGCAUUGACGCUGAACAGCGAAAGCCAGGGGAGCAAACGGG
rnacentral:rRNA from 1 species